ACGGGUGAGUAACGCGUGGGUAACCUACCCUGUACACACGGAUAACAUACCGAAAGGUAUGCUAAUACGGGAUAAUAUAUUUGAGAGGCAUCUCUUGAAUAUCAAAGGUGAGCCAGUACAGGAUGGACCCGCGUCUGAUUAGUUAGUUGGUAAGGUAACGGCUUACCAAGGCGACGAUCAGUAGCCGACCUGAGAGGGUGAUCGGCCACAUUGGAACUGAGACACGGUCCAAACUCCUACGGGAGGCAGCAGUGGGGAAUAUUGCACAAUGGGCGAAAGCCUGAUGCAGCAACGCCGCGUGAGUGAUGAAGGCCUUCGGGUCGUAAAACUCUGUCCUCAAGGAAGAUAAUGACGGUACUUGAGGAGGAAGCCCCGGCUAACUACGUGCCAGCAGCCGCGGUAAUACGUAGGGGGCUAGCGUUAUCCGGAUUUACUGGGCGUAAAGGGUGCGUAGGCGGUCUUUCAAGUCAGGAGUGAAAGGCUACGGCUCAACCGUAGUAAGCUCUUGAAACUGGGAGACUUGAGUGCAGGAGAGGAGAGUGGAAUUCCUAGUGUAGCGGUGAAAUGCGUAGAUAUUAGGAGGAACACCAGUUGCGAAGGCGGCUCUCUGGACUGU
rnacentral:rRNA from 1 species